GAGAAAGUAUGCAAGAACUGCUAACUCUUCACCCCGUACAUAAUAGUGCGGCUUUCUCA
rnacentral:tRNA from 1 species